UUAGCGGCGCUUUUUAGCGCCACAAAAAAUAUUUGCGGCGCUUUG
rfam:Gossypium hirsutum cultivar TM-1 chromosome 21, whole genome shotgun sequence